GCCUGCCCUGUGACCCCUGGUUUAACGGCCGCGGUAUCCUGACCGUGCGAAGGUAGCGCAAUCACUUGUCCCUUAAAUGAGGACCUGUAUGAAUGGCACGACGAGGGCUUAACUGUCUCCUUUCCCCGGCCAAUGAAAUUGAUCUUCCCGUGCAGAAGCGGGAAUACUAACAUAAGACGAGAAGACCCUAUGGAGCUUUAGACGCCAGAGCAGACCAUGUCAACUACCUCCUCAACAUAAGUGGCAAUAAUUGAGCUCCUGCUCCCCGUCUUUGGUUGGGGCGACCACGGGGAACAAAAAAACCCCCACGUGGACCGGGAGCACACCUACUCCUAGAACCGCGAGCAACCGCUCUAAAUUACAGAACUUCUGACCAAAAAGAUCCGGCAACGCCGAUCAACGAAUCCAGUUACCCUAGGGAUAACAGCGCAAUCCUCUUCAAGAGUCCAUAUCGAC
rnacentral:rRNA from 1 species